CCAUCGCUGAGCCAGUUAUCCAUUUGACACAUGGAAAUACCCAAGGGUGUUCUGGUUCUCUUGAGAGAGCAUCUCCUUGCCUUACUGUGUGGCUUAUUUGGAUUCUUGGUUGGCUGUGGUAGUGCUUCUGUCAUCUCAUCUCCAGCAGAUGCUGGUGCCAGUCAUCACAGGACUUGGAAGCUGAGUCAGGAGGAAGGGAACAUGCUCCUCCAAGUCUGCACUAACUCCUGAUAACAGGGAAUUCAGAAGGAAGGAGUCACUUGGUUUUCUCUCUUUAUUUAUGUAACCUUCACAGUGCGAGGCUUCAAGCUGGGACUCAGGGUACAGAGGUGCAAAAGACAGAUGUGCUGCCCACUUUCAUGAGGCUUAGAGCCUGGCACAGUUGUCUGUUGUGGGAAUUACAAAAUAGUAGGCAACUGCCCACGGCUGAUGUAUUUUAUUUGGCCCAUACGGAAUCCUAAACUUUUGUCGUUGUUAGUUCCCAGUGUUUGAAAAUUGGGAUAGUUUAUCUAAAACUCCAGAUUUCUGGCUUCUCUUAACAAAUCAGAAGACUUGGCAACUCAAGGUCCAACGUUAGGCUGACAGCAAUUUGUCAUCACUGAGCAGUGAUGUUCAUCACAAACCGCACCUCUCCCUGUGACUUCCCUAACAGAGAGUGGUGUCAGGUCCCACUUAUCAUCACACAUUUUUUUUUAUUGUGGCGCUAAGGGGAAAGAUCCCUAAAUAAAUUACAUCUGCAAAGACUCUGUUUUCCAAAUAAGACGUUUCUAUCAAAAUGUACCUUUUACGCAUCCUACUUGGCUCUUUUAUAUAAUGGUAUGGCUCCCAAAGGCAUUUGUUUGUGACAUGCGGAUGUUUCCUUUCCUGUAAAAAGGCAGAGCCUGGGAGGUGGGAGUGAUUACUGUUCAGGGGAAGGUGAAUACGAUGUCUCUUCUUUGUAAGCAGGAUUGUCAUGAUCUUGAAAUGAUACUGGGGAGAUUUUACAGUUAAGUCGGUUUUAUUUUGUUUAGAAAAAAAACUUUGUGACAAAGUGCAGGUAAAAGAAACGUGACCUGAUUAUGAAGUCCUUAAUUUAAAUGUUAUAUUCAAGCAGCUGCUAGAACAGUGACUAGAACAAUCCCUGACACAUAGUAGAUUACUGAUAAAUAUUUGUUGAAUGAAUGAUUUGAAAAUGAAAUUUUAUGACACCAACUUCAUUUUUAAAGGAAGUAGAACAGGAAAAGGAAUCUUUGAAAACAUCUUCGCCUCUGAGUUUUCUCUGGCUUCCUCCUUCUUUCUUUUCCCCCACACUCCACCUCAUACACAUGUUAGAUAAAAUAUGUUAAAGAAAACUUUUCAUUCCUACAUGGUCAAAGAAGGGAGCCCGCACUGGUUAUGUUCAUGGCCAGGGAAGUGAUGUGAUUCAUUGAGUGUCCUAGCUUUAAAGGACUAGGUGAGAAUGGUUCAGGUUUAUUUUAAGCCUCAUGACUUCUGUUUUAGGUGAGUGGAAACAUGCACUGUAAGGCUUUACAGAGUUUAUCCAUGUUCUCCAGCCUGGAUCUGUGUUGUUGUCCUUGCCUACAAUGAUCUUCCUCUCUCUUUUGUCCAAAUUAAGUCCCAAUCCUCCUGGUUAAGUCCCAAUUCACAAGGACCUCCAUGAAUCCAUCCUGAUCAUUUCUGUCUCCGGGGCCCCUAUGCAUAGUAAUAAUAUAACUAAUAACAAAUGCGAUAAUAACAGUAACAUUAACACUAUAAAAUAACACUUCUUGAGAUUUUAUUGUGUACCAGGUCCUGUGUGAAAUACUUUACAUGCAUUAUUUCAUUUGGUCCUGACACAAAUCCAACUCAGUAGGGACUUUUAUGAUCAUUUCCAUUUUCCAGAUGCAGAAACUGAGUGUCAGAGAGGAAAUUACUUGCUAAAGGUUACAGAGCUAGCCAGUGGCAGGCUGCAUGCUUGAACCCAGCCCUGCCUGACCACACAGCCUCUGCCCUCGUGUAUUUACUAUGCUGCCUCCCUGAUUUCUGACCGGUUCCUGGAGCACUUAAAGUGGAGCAACUACUUCACACUCAGCAUGUGCUGUUUUAUUGCUACGAACACAUCUUUUUAGGUUCAGGCCCUGUUUAUUCAAAUAAAUUAUCAGGGCCUUGAGGGCAAGAAAUGAUUUUAUAUCAGCUUGCCUCACUAGGACUUAGCACAAUGCUCUCAAAUAAUAGGAGCCUAGUUAACUGCUCCUUUAUUUCAACAGUUCUUUAAUCAAACUUCAAAGGCAGCAUUUAUUACAUUUACAAGUCUUAUUGUUUGCAUCUGUCCCCACUUCCAGCCUGGAAACAUCACAUAUCCCUCAUCCGUGACUCAGCACUGAGCACCUGGGAGCUGCUCAGUAAAUAUUGCUGAGGAAUUGAGUUGAUGGUUCUCGUCAAUACUGAUGAUUAACCAGGAUUAACGUUUUCUCUUUUAAAUUUCAUUUUCCAUCUCUGCGUGCCGUCUUUUUAUUGUUCUGCAUUUACUCAAAUUAUUAGACAGUGAACUUAAAACAUUCAACUUGAAAAAAAAUUCAGCAACGUAAAUAAAUAAAUAAAUGUAAUCCGACAUUUUUAUCCCUUCUAAUUUUGUUGUAGCUUUCCCUGGACCUCUAUCACACUGAAGAUGAUAUUUACAAACUGUCACUGGUGCUGGAGCCUAGAAAUUCUAAAUCGCAGCCUACCUCCCCUACGACGCCCAACAAGCCUGUGGUACCCCUGGAGUGGGCAUUAGGGGUGAUGCCAAAGCCAGACCCCACGGUCAUCAACAAGCACAUAAGGAAAUUAGUGGAGGUAAGUGGUUGAGGGAGAAUAAAGAGAGGGCACUAGAAGACCCUUUCUCUUUCCAGAAUGUUCUGCGAUUGUCCAGGAAUCUGAUGGAACCCCUGAAAACAACCCUCUGGCAGGUAGGAACAAUUUAGCAGGCACUUAGUCCUACCAGGCAUUGGGUCCUGGGGAGAGUCGAUCAGAAAGGCCCUUUUCCCUUUGUUGUCUCUCUUGCCCAGAUACUCUCAGCUACUUCCAGCUCCUCUCUUUCACAGGCAUUUGCCACCUCUGUCAUUGUCAACAGCUCAAGGGAUUGGGGAUUAGAAUCACUCAUGAAAAACCCACAUAGGUCCCACUAAGAUGCCCAAUAAAUUGAUUACCCAAGGGCAGGAAAGAAAUCCUGUAAGUUGGAUAGUUUCUCCUUUUGUAUAGUUUUGGAAUUUUAUGACACAGCAGCCCGAUGUUACUGAGAUUAGAAAAAUCACCUAAUGUAGGACAAGGCUCUGUCAGAGUUUUCCGUGUAGAAAAAAGAGUAGGGCCGGGCGCGGUGGCUCACGCCUGUAAUCCCAGCACUUGGGAGGCCGAGGCGGGCGGAUCACGAGGUCAGGAGAUCGAGACCACGGUGAAACCCUGUCCCUACUAAAAAUACAAAAAAUUAGCCGGGCGCGAUGGCGGGCGCCUGCAGUCUCAGCUACUCAGGAGGCAGAGGCAGGAGAAUGGAGUGAACCCGGGAAGCAGAGCUUGCAGUGAGGUGAGAUCGCGCCACUGCACUCCAGCCUGGGAGACAGAGUGAGACUCCGUCUGAAAAAAAAAAAAAGAAAAGAAAAGAAAAGAAAAAAGAGUAGAAGUGCCGAUGGGGGAACACGGAAACAUCUCGGGUACAGGAAACUGCGAUCCUGAAUUAAAUGUCUACUUUAAUGGAUUGGUAGGUACAUCUGCUGGUGCAACAGAAUUGAGUCUUUGGGAUAGAAUGUGCUUUUUGCUGGGAGAAGAUAUUU
rnacentral:lncRNA from 1 species